rnacentral:rRNA from 1 species
GACGAACGCUGGCGGCGUGCUUAACACAUGCAAGUCGAACGGUAAGGCCCUUCGGGGUACACGAGUGGCGAACGGGUGAGUAACACGUGGGUGAUCUGCCCUGCACUUCGGGAUAAGCCUGGGAAACUGGGUCUAAUACCGGAUAGGACUCCGGACUGCAUGGUCUGGGGUGGAAAGCUUUUGCGGUGUGGGAUGGGCCCGCGGCCUAUCAGCUUGUUGGUGGGGGAAUGGCCUACCAAGGCGACGACGGGUAGCCGGCCUGAGAGGGUGACCGGCCACACUGGGACUGAGAUACGGCCCAGACUCCUACGGGAGGCAGCAGUGGGGAAUAUUGCACAAUGGGCGCAAGUCUGAUGCAGCGACGCCGCGUGAGGGAUGACGGCCUUCGGGUUGUAAACCUCUUUCAGUAGGGACGAAGCGCAAGUGACGGUACCUACAGAAGAAGGACCGGCCAACUACGUGCCAGCCGCCGCCGUAA